rnacentral:rRNA from 1 species
CGCCCGACCCGCCGGGUCCACAUGCCGCGGCGCACGCCAACGUGCGCGGCGAGAAUGGGCCCCGAGCCAAAUGAAGGACGGCUCGUGCGUUCUGGCUCCGCCUCGGUCUGGCGCCUCUACAGGGUCAGGGGGUGCUGCCGAACAGGUUCGUGUGCACCCCGGCACGUGGCCCGGCAGAGCCGCCCAACCAGCCAGCGCCGUGCACCACCUAGGGGGGUUUUUUAGGGUUUAGGUUUUUGGUUUUUUUUUUUUUUUGGAUAACUGUCUUGGGCUAAACUUUUCAGCAGGUCAGCCAUCCCAAUACUUCACACACCCAAGCACUUUGGUGCCUCUCAGGCACAUUCUUCGAGAUAGAUGCUACUAGUGCCUCUCGACAUGGUGGCAGGGGUGUGUUUGGCACGUUCUUCGAAGCUGGGGGCAUCUUGGCAUGGUGAGAUGGAUGCCACAUAUGUCUCUCGACAUGAUGGCAGGGGUGCCUCUUGGCACAUUCUUUGGAGCAUGGGGCAUCUUGGCAUAGUGGCGCAGUGCCUUUCAGCACAUGCACAGCAAAUGUCUCGUAACACAUGCACAUGUACCCCGGACUUCUCAGGGAGGUCACCCAUCCGGGACUGACCCCACAAAGCAGGCUUAACUCUGAAGUUCUAAUAGGAUAUGGUGGCAACUCUCUCACUUACGAGGGUUAAAGGGUUUAGGGUUUAGGGUUUUUUUUUUAUUUUUAAGCUGAAGAAAAUUCUCACGAUUCCACUUAGCGAGAGAGAGAGAGAGAGAGAGAGCUGGUCCUUCAAUUCUCUGUGGUGGUUGGGGUUUACUUCUUGGCGUAGGAGAUGGCCAUGGGAUUGUGGGGGGUGAUCUUGAAGCCCUGGAGAGACUGCAUGGCGAUGGAGGACUGGACGUCAUCCUCAAAUUCAACAAAGGUGAUACUGGGCUUGGCGUUGAUCAUCCGGACCUCCCUAAAGCUGGGGUACUGCUGGAAGAGGAUCUGGAGCAUCAUGCUUGUUGUCUCAUGAGGCAGGUUCUGGAUGAAGAGGAUGUUGUUCAGGGUGGUGACGGCAUCUUCAGGUUCAGGCUUCCCUUGGAAUGCUUGAGAAGCCCAUUAAUCUCAGCAUGAGGACCGCCGUCGGCAGCUCCAGAUUGCUGCACUUCUUUGGCAUUCCGCUUCUUUUCAGCUUUUUCUUCUUGCUUCUUCCUUUUCUCCUGUGGAUUAUUUGUGCCUUCCUCCUAGCAAUGCAUCUCUGACUUCAUCUUGGUAUACUGUAUCCUCAUUAGUUUGUCAUAAAAAGGAAGUUCUGCAUCUGCGGCGAACUGCAGUACUCGCAGCAGUAAGUUCACUGAAUACAACCCAUGCUUGACCUCGGGGAGUUUCUCUAUUUUCAGCGGAACAACAUCUAAAAUCCUUCCAUACUGCAAGAAUAGCCCAUAAAGGGAUCUUUUGCAAGAACAGUCUAGGGUUUAGGGUUUAUGGCUUUGGGCUUAGGUUUAGGGUUCAGGGCUUUUUUUUUUUUUUUUGAUAACUGUCUUGGCCAAACUUCUCAGGAGGUCACCCAUCCGGUACUUCACACGUCCAAGCACUUUGGUGCCUCUCAGGCACAUUCUUUGGAGAUAGAUGCCAUUUGCACUUCUCGACAUCGUGGCUGGGGCGUCUUUGGUGCCUCUCAGCGCAGACGAUUAUGCAGCGAUGCCUUUCAGCACAUGCACAGCAAGCAUCUCUCGCAACGCAUGCACACAUACCAGGGACUUCUCAGGAGGUCACCCAUCCAGGACUGCUCCACCCGAGCACGUUUAACUUCGGAGUUCUUAUGGAUCCGGUGCAACUCUCCCACAAAGGAGGUUGGGUUUUAGGUUUAGGUUUAGGUUUUUUUAUUUUAUAUUUUUAUUGAUAACUGUCUUGGCUGAACUUCUAGGAGGUCACCCAUUCUGAUACUUCACACGCCCAAGCACUUUGGUGCCUUCAGGCACAUUCUUUGGAGCUGGGGCAUCUUGGCAUGGUGAGAUGGAUGCCACAUAUAUGCCUCUCAGCACGUUCUUCGCUGGGGGUGUCUUGGCAUAGUGAGAUGGAUGCCACAUAUACCUUUU